CGCACAUUGCGCCUAUUAGUAUUCUAGUAGGCAUGCCUGUUCGAGCGUCAUUUCAACCCUCAAGCUUAACUGCUUGGUGUUGGGACAUUACUUUUAGUUAAGUAAGUUCUCAAAUGUAUUGGCAGCUCCAAAUCAUCUCUGAGCGUAGUAAAUCUCUUUAUCUCGCUUUGGCUAGGUGUUUUGGUGGUAGCCAGAAACUUUCUGUAAAGAAAACUUCUGAAUAGUUGACCUCGGAUCAGGUAGGAAUACCCGCUGAACUUAA
rnacentral:misc_RNA from 1 species